GACGAACGCUGGCGGCGUGCCUAAUACAUGCAAGUCGAACGCAGUGGGGACGGGUGAGUAACACGUGGGUAACCUCGCAUCAGAGGGGAUAACAGUUGGAAACAGGUGCUAAACCGAUACUGAUGGAUGGACCCGCGGUGCAUGAGCGAGUUGGUGAGGUAACGGCUAACCAAGGCCACGAUGCAUAGCCGACCUGAGAGGGUGAUCGGCCACACUGGGACUGAGACACGGCCCAGACUCCUACGGGAGGCAGCAGUGGGGAAUCUGCGGCAAUGGACGAAAGUCGGACCGAGCAACGCCGCGUGAUUGAAGAAGGUUUUCGGAUCGUAAAGCGCUGUUGUUAGAGAAGCGGUAUCUAACCAGAAAGCCACGGCUAACUACGUGCCAGCAGCCGCGGUAAUAC
rnacentral:rRNA from 1 species